AGAGUUUGAUCCUGGCUCAGGAUGAACGCUGGCGGUCUGCUUAACACAUGCAAGUCGAACGGGACUCUUCGGAGUUCAGUGGCGGACGGGUGAGUAACGCGUGAGAAUCUGCCUUCGGGUUGGGGACAACCACUGGAAACGGUGGCUAAUACCCAAUGUGCCGCAACGUGAAAGAUUUAUCGCCCGAAGAUGAGCUCGCGUCUGAUUAGCUAGUUGGUGGGGUAAAGGCUCACCAAGGCAACGAUCAGUAGCUGGUCUGAGAGGAUGACCAGCCACACUGGGACUGAGACACGGCCCAGACUCCUACGGGAGGCAGCAGUGGGGAAUUUUCCGCAAUGGGCGAAAGCCUGACGGAGCAAGACCGCGUGAGGGAGGAAGGCCCUUGGGUUGUAAACCUCUUUUGUCAGGGAAGAACACAAUGACGGUACCUGACGAAUCAGCCUCGGCUAACUCCGUGCCAGCAGCCGCGGUAAUACGGAGGAGGCAAGCGUUAUCCGGAAUUAUUGGGCGUAAAGCGUCCGCAGGUGGCUUAUCAAGUCUGCCGUCAAAGACCGGGGCUUAACCCUGGAAAGGCGGUGGAAACUGACAAGCUAGAGUGCCGUAGGGGUAGAGGGAAUUCCCGGUGUAGCGGUGAAAUGCGUAGAGCUCGGGAAGAACAUCGGUGGCGAAAGCGCUCUACUGGACGGCAACUGACACUCAGGGACGAAAGCUAGGGGAGCGAAUGGGAUUAGAUACCCUAGUAGUCC
rnacentral:rRNA from 1 species